rnacentral:hammerhead_ribozyme from 1 species
GCACUGCUGAGGAGUCCCAUAAUAGGACGGAACGGCCGUGCAGUGC